CUGGCGGCGUGCCUAAUACAUGCAAGUCGAACGGUCUUUCUAUGGAAGCUUGCUUCCACUGAGAAGAUAGUGGCGAACGGGUGAGUAACACGUGGGUAACCUGCCCAUAAGAGGGGGGAUAACAUCCGGAAACGGGUGCUAAUACCGCAUAGUUUUCUUGAUCGCAUGAUCGGGAAAGGAAAGACGGCCUUUGUGCUGUCGCUUAUGGAUGGACCCGCGGCGUAUUAGUUAGUUGGUGAGGUAACGGCUCACCAAGACGAUGAUACGUAGCCGACCUGAGAGGGUGAUCGGCCACAUUGGGACUGAGACACGGCCCAAACUCCUACGGGAGGCAGCAGUAGGGAAUCUUCCGCAAUGGACGAAAGUCUGACGGAGCAACGCCGCGUGAGUGAAGAAAGGGUUUUCGGAUCGUAAAACUCUGUUGUCAGAGAAGAACAAGUUGGAGAGUAACUGCUCCAGCCUUGACGGUAUCUGACCAGAAAGCCACGGCUAACUACGUGCCAGCAGCCGC
rnacentral:rRNA from 1 species